GACGAACGCUGGCGGCGUGCUUAACACAUGCAAGUCGAACGGAAAGGCCCUGCUUGCAGGGUACUCGAGUGGCGAACGGGUGAGUAACACGUGGGUGAUCUGCCCUGCACUUCGGGAUAGCCUGGGAAACUGGGUCUAAUACCGGAUAGGAGCCAUUUUUAGUGUGAUGGUUGGAAAGUUUUUUCGGUGUAGGAUGAGCUCGCGGCCUAUCAGCUUGUUGGUGGGGUAAUGGCCUACCAAGGCGGCGACGGGUAGCCGGCCUGAGAGGGUGGACGGCCACAUUGGGACUGAGAUACGGCCCAGACUCCUACGGGAGGCAGCAGUGGGGAAUAUUGCACAAUGGGCGCAAGCCUGAUGCAGCGACGCCGCGUGGGGGAGGACGGCCUUCGGGUUGUAAACUCCUUUCGCUAGGGACGAAGCUUUUUGUGACGGUACCUAGAUAAGAAGCACCGGCUAACUACGUG
rnacentral:rRNA from 1 species